rnacentral:tRNA from 1 species
GCCUGGGUGGCUCAGUUGGUUGAGCAUCUGACUUUGGCUCAGGUUGUGAUCUUGUGGUUUGUGAGUUCAAGCCCCACAUUGGGCU